AUUGCCACAAUUUAAAUGACACUGCCUCUGCCUCUUCGGAAGGACCAGUCCUCCAGAGAGCACCAGCCACAGCAACUGUCCACCCUUGCAAAAAACGUCUUCAUCAUGGCGUAUAAAGCAGCACAUUUGGCCUUUAAGUCGCGCUGGCACAAGACAGACGAAGAACUCUGUCGGCACAGUAUGUCCUUCGUCUUGCAUAAGGCGAUCCGAAAUGACUUCUUUCAGAGUUACCUUUAUCUGCUGGAAAAGCUUCCCCUGGUGAAACUUUACGCUUUGACAAGUCAAGUUAUCAAUGGGGAGAUGCAGUUCUACGCCAGGGCCAAACACUUCUACCGGGAGGUGCCAGCCACAGAAGAGGGCAUGAUGGGAGACUACAUUGAGCUCUCCAAUACAGACAUUGAAUCCUCCAGGGAGUUUCUCAGGAAGUUUGUUGGGGGGGUGGGGAAAGCUGGUACCAACCGCGCCCUGGACUGCGGCUCUGGGAUAGGUCGUAUCAGCAAGCAUGUCCUGUUACCAGUUUUCAAGAGCGUGGAACUGGUGGAUAUGAUGGAGAACUUCCUGGCUGAGGUCCCGAACUACCUGCAGGGCAAGGAGGACAGAGUAGAGAUGUAUUAUUGCAAAAGCCUUCAGGAAUUCACUCCAUCCCCACAAAGAUAUGAUGUCAUCUGGAUUCAGUGGGUUUCAGGAUAUCUGACAGAUAAAGAUCUCCUGGAGUUUCUUAUCCGGUGCCAAAAUGGCUUGAAGGAUAAUGGUGUUAUCAUUCUCAAGGACAACGUAGCCAGGGAGGGCUGUAUCCUGGAUUGUCUGGAUAGUAGUGUGAUCCGAGACCUGAACAUCCUCCACAGCCUCGUUGAAAUGAGUGGACUCACCAUCCUACGAGAGGAGAGGCAGGAGGGAUUCCCUGAGCAGUGUGUCCCUGUCUGGAUGUUGGCCAUGCAGAAAGGCCCUGGCCAUUCCUGAUUGCAUAGUGAGACUGCAGAAACUGGACUAUGGAUGAACCACAGGACUGGGAAGGAGAAAAGCAUCUGCUAGAAUCCUCCUAACCAUGCAUUGCUACUACUACAACUCUAGGGCAGCAACACCUAAAGGAUCGUGAGAGAAUUACAAUUGAGCCAACUUCUCCAGGGAAUAGUCUGCUUCUAAAUCCUGCCUGCUUCAUCAUUCUCUCCAUUUUUAAAAGCCUUUCUAACAGCUCCUUGUCAGAUCUCUCUUUCAUUAAGGAGUCAAUACUGGACAAAACUCGACUAAUAGAAAAUAAUUAGGUCUGAAGUUUCUGUAGUGGCUAAUAUAUUUUGGAGUGUUCUGUAUGAGGUGUUAACAAAUAAGACUGGUUUUUACUAUGUCACUUUAAUAUUCUUGGAAUUUAAGAAGGAUCUGUCAGAUCACUGAAGCAGGAAAUUCAAAUAACUUCUGGAAAACCUAACCCAAAUUUCGACUGUCAUCACUAUCUGUACUUUAAAAUAUUCAAACCAAAAAUCCAGAGAUGUCUGCCAUGGCACAGAAUACUUGGGGACUGCUGGAGAUCCUAGUACAAUCGUGUCUGUGCCAGGCAUAUCUGAAUGGUGUUGGUCACUACAAUGGUGAGAGAACGGCAUUGUGGAAAUAGGGAAGUAAACAAUUUUAUACAGAUCUAAACAGCUGCCACAUCUCACAGGGUAGAAUAUAUCAGCUGUUCACUUACACACCAGAGUGGGUGCAGUUCAGUAAUGAGAGACGUGGUUCCAGGACAGAUAUAGAAUGUAAAGUGGUUUAGGAUGAAAUGUAGAAUAUAAAUGACUGGUAUUGUUAUCAGUGAAAUAUAUUUUUCAAGGUAAAAAUGUUCUUCCUCUAUUUUGUACAUCUUUCCUAUUUGAAUUUCCAGAAUACAUAGACAUAAACAUAUUAUGAAAAUUGGUUCCCUUAACUAUAUGAGAACAGAGACAAAUAAAAUCUUAAUUUAGUAGAAAAACCCAUAUUUCAUGGUUCCCACAUUCCUGGAAAUUAAUGUUUCAUGGCUAUGUUGCUUCCACAGUAAAAUAUUAAAGCUUUUCUGGUGACAUAAUGAACCUCAAGAGUAAAGAAACACAAGCCCUCCAGGGGCUUAAUGCAUGCUGAAGACUAAAUAAUAUUUUGGUUUCCUCCUUUUCCAAGGUAUAUUUUAAUUCAAGAACUCCCAGUCAGCCAGUGUAGGACACCCUUAAAUGUUCAUGAAUUUGGGUAAGGGCCAUUCUUGGUUUAAAAGUUCAGGGCUCUCUGGACUUUACCGUAGUAUAUAAUAAUAAUAAUAAUAAUCCAUCACAAAUUUCAAACAGAAGAUCUUGCUUAGGAAUCAUCUAUGUAUCAGUUGCUCUUUGGUGUUCAAAGACUGGAUAAUCAACUGAGUUGCACUGCCUCAACUUUCAGGUUAUUUAAACCAUGCAUUUAAAGAAGUCUUUAGCUCAUCAGAUUGCAGCGGGAGUUUGAAUCCCAUUUGUUUGGUGAUCAUUUAAGACUUGUUCCCGAUCUUGACGUUACCAGAAAUUUAAUCGAAGAUCAAGACCCUGGCUGAGGCAAGGUUCACAGAACAUUCAGGGUCUUUCAAGCUCAAGCCCUCAUUCACCACCAACAGGUAAUUAGUGAAAUACCCAAUUAGUCCUUCAAUCAGAUGUUUCUCCCACGCAACCACUACUCAAGUAAACGCUUAGCCAAAGUUGCAGUAAGCGCAUAUCACCACCAAAGCUCUUGGCAAUGCUCAGUUUCCCCAUAUCAGGUCCAGUGCUUCUAUUCUGUGUGACUGAAGGCCAAAUAUUAUCUUUAUUAUAUGAAUGUGAGGUUCCUUGCAAAAGAGAUCCUCAAGCCCUGACAGUAGCCCCCAAAUGCUACUGCAACCCAAACAAAAUGUACGGAAGCAAUUAUUACAGCAGUCUGAACAGCAAUCCCAACUGUGCAGCUCCAGCAACCAUCAAAGCUCAAGCUGUUCGUGUUCCAAAGGCAACUCAGACAUUACAAAUGUCCUUUCAUUCCUAAUUGGAAGAAAGAGCCAUCAUUUUGAAACAUAUCGCUGAAUGGAUGUUCUAAAAUACUUUGUUUCAGAAAUACUGAAAUGAUCAUAUCAAAUAUUUUUCAUUUGACUUUCUUGUUUGGAUUUUAUAUAACCUAGUCUAAACUGACAUGUUAUGUGAGAUGAUAAUAUAAUAUAUUAUAUAGUAUUGUAAUAGUUGAAGUGAAACAUUAGUUUCCUACAGAAUACGCUAAUAAAAUCAGUACAUCCCGUGCCCUCAAAUUUAGUGAAACAAGUCAGCAAUUUCCAGAGGAAACAGUCAUUUCGAGAGGAACAAUCCUGUAAAGAAGUAUUUGCCCAAGCUCUUUUUCUCCAGACGUAUCCCAUCCAUUCAGGCAGCUUGCAGUGUGCCUGGUCUAGGGAGCAGCCACCUUAGGCUGGAGAAGAAACUGGCACCUCCAGAGCAAUUCAGACCACCUCAGAGCUGAACUGGCUUGAAAUAAGAGAGUCUCCCCUCUCCCUGGUGGUGGUACAGUGGGAAUGAAAGUGCAUCCUUGUUAUAACCAGUUCAGCAUCUUCAUUGUUAAUGUCAAACAGAAGUGCAGUGUGAUCUGAGGAGCUGUACUGUCAAAACCAGAAAAAGGCAUGGACUUGGAUAACCAAACGCCCAUUAAAAAUCAAAGUCAUGGUACCGGGGCACUACAUUAAUGGGAGCAAUAUAUCACUGCGUAAUGCCAACUGACAAAAGCUUUGCCAGUUAUUCCACUGAAUGCCCUGAGUACCUUUAUGCCAUUCACUUGUUUUUUCCAUUCUCUUAAUCCAGGCUCCCCAGAGCGUUUACAAUGGCAUAUCAGACAGUAGGCCUGUCCAGAGGAACUUGACUGUUAUGUGUGAUUAAAACCAGUUGUGUUGCAUCCCAUCCCUCUUUUCUUCCUUUGAUGCUUCUUCCAACUUGCCAAGAAAAUCCCUCCUCCACUUGCCAAAAAUGAUUUGUUCUCUGUGGACAUCACCACAUCUCAGUGAAGUAAAACAGAUUAGCUUUGAUUUUAAGAGGAGGUAAUUCUGUUUAUCUGAGAGCAAUAACAACACGUUGUAUUUCAAACAUACGGGUUAAUACCUGUCUCUUUCAAUUGAUGUCAAGUAGACACUCCCAGACCUUUGUACCAAAGCUCACGUUCUCAUCAUCACCAUAAAUAACAAUAUUUGUAUGACACUAUACAUCCCAAGACCAUGAAGCAUGUUUGGAAUAAGGAAACUGAGGCACAGAAGGGUGAUCUGGGCCACAUUACAACUUUACCUAAGUGGUAGCUGUGAGUGAUUAACACCUCCACAAAUCAGGACACUACAGGAACUACGGAGUGUUUUGCAGGCAGACAUAAACUUAUUCUGUUUGUGCUUGGAGCAGAUUGAAACAGCAUGGUUGUGGUUAGCCUGCUUAUUAGGCCAACCUGAUAUGUCCUGCAAAGAGAGGGCUCAGGCUGAACAUUGUGCUCAUGAACAUAAACAGCUUCUGUUCCUUUCAAAGCAUUGGAAGAACAAUCUAGUGUAUGCCUGCAGCAAAAAUAAAGACAGAAAAUUGGUGGAAAGUCUC